GCGGGCCCCUGGGCCCGGACCAGGGAGCAGGCAGCCGUUGCCGGCGGGGCUGCAUGGACGCAGGAAAGUUGGCUCGGCACCCGACAGACACGGGCUCGGAGCGGGCAGUGCCGGCGCUCGCGGAAAUAAGGCCGUGGUGGGCCCCUCCCCUCCGCCCCCAGGGCGAAGAUAAUUGUGAAACACCUGUGCCAGGCCCUGGGGGAAUGAGGGUGAACAAUCUUAAACAUCUCUGCCUUCCUGGAGCACACCUUCUAGGUUGCACAGUGGCUCAGAGAGUAGACUUGGAGCCAGGCUGCCCGGUUUUAUAGCCCUGCUUGACCUGUGUGAUCCGAGAAUAAUCUUGUUUAAUCUCCACAAGUUUGAGGACUAAACUGGGUGCCACAGAGAAUUAAGUAACUGGUCGAGGUUGUAUCAGUAAGAAGGGAGCACGGAACAGAUUCAAGCUCAGGGAGCCUGGUUGGACUUCAGGCCCCUGUGAGGCUGACUCUGUAGUCCUGGAGAAACUCAACAGCCAGGAACUUAGGACCAUUUGUGUGUGGCAUUUGGGCUAACCAGACUGGUGGCUUCUAAAGAAGAUGGAAAGCAUCACGUUUCCUGUAUUUAAAUUAUUUGGUGAUCUCAAUACUGGUUGUUAGCCAAAGUACACAAUGGAGACAGCCUAUUUGCUCUACUACUUUUGAUGUAGAAAUAUUACUAAGCUUGAGCUGAUUAAUAGAACUGUUACACAUUUCUGUGCUCCCCUUACUGGUGGCAUGAAAUAAUUCUUUUAAAACCUGCCAUGUGUUCACAUUUAAAACUAAAAGUAAUUUAGAUUACAUGGAUUUGAGAAGCCCAUGUUGACACGUAAUUGCCAACAGAUGGGCUUUCAAAUGUAAUGAAGUGAAAAUGGUCAGUACCCCAUGUGUUGGAUUUUGCAAUUUUCCAAAGUAAGCUGUCAUUUUUGGCAUGUCAUGCUAGUUAAGAACACAAUGUAUUUAUAGCUCAAUUAUACAUUUUCUGAUGAAUUUGGCAUGGCAUUUUGUUUUUCCAUCAGUCACUUAAGACAGGACAUUUGCCAUUCCAAGAAUGAAUUAACACUCUUCUAAGUGAUCUAUAAACUGAGAUGUAAAAUAAAUUACAAAUUGGGACUGUUUUAGUUUUUCAAGCAAAGGGUGUUUAAAUAAAGCUUGAAAUCAUAAACCUUA
rnacentral:lncRNA from 1 species